CUCCACCCUUGUCCUCGUCUACACUCACACCUGUGUUAACGAGAGAAUCUCUGACAUGAUGUCAGCUGGUCCUUUUGUGGCAGGGCUAAAAUGCAGUGGAAAUGUUUUUUGGGGGGGAUUCAGUUCAUUUGCAUGGCAAAGAGGGACUUUGCAAUUAAUUGCAAUUCAUCUGAUCACUCUUCAUAACAUUCUGGAGUAUAUGCAAAUUGCCAUCAUUCAAAAUGAGGCAGCAGACUUUGUGAAAAUUAAUAUUUGUGUCAUUCUCAAAACUUUUGGCCACAACUGUACUCAGCCAACUCCAACCUCAGUCUCCACAUCUGUUUUUUCUGCAACUUCUCCGACCUACCCCGGAUCUGCACUCCAUAUCUCUCUGUAUCCUGCAUUUUGGGAAUGUAGGAAAAACAUGUCAAAUGAACAUUCAGAAGAAUAACCAGAGGCACAAUGGCAACCACUAAACAGACUGCUGUGAAGUAUGGCAACCACUAAACAGACUGCUGUGAAGUAUGGCGACCACUAAACAGACUGCUGUGAAGUAUGGCAACCACUAAACAGACUUCUGUGAAGUAUGGCAACCACUAAACAGACUGCUGUGAAGUAUGGCGACCACUAAACAGACUGCUGUGAAGUAUGGUAACCACUAAACAGACUGCUGUGAAGUAUGGUAACCACUAAACAGACUGCUGUGAAGUAUGGCAACCACUAAACAGACUGCUGUGAAGUAUGGCAACCACUAAACAGACUGCUGUGAAGUAUGGCAACCACUAAACAGACUGCUGUGAAGUAUGGCGACCACUAAACAGACUGCUGUGAAGUAUGGCACAGA
rnacentral:lncRNA from 1 species